rnacentral:rRNA from 1 species
AGCGAACGCUGGCGGCAGGCCUAAUACAUGCAAGUCGAGCGGUCCCUUCGGGGGCAGCGGCGGACGGGUGAGUAACGCGUGGGAACGUGCCCUUUGGUACGGAACAACUGAGGGAAACUUCAGCUAAUACCGUAUGUGCCCUUCGGGGGAAAGAUUUAUCGCCAUUGGAGCGGCCCGCGUUGAAUUAGGUAGUUGGUGAG